GACGAACGCUGGCGGCGUGCUUAACACAUGCAAGUCGAACGGAAAGGCCCUGCUUUUGUGGGGUGCUCGAGUGGCGAACGGGUGAGUAACACGUGAGUAACCUGCCCUUGACUUUGGGAUAACUUCAGGAAACUGGGGCUAAUACCGGAUAGGAGCUCCUGCUGCAUGGUGGGGGUUGGAAAGUUUCGGCGGUUGGGGAUGGACUCGCGGCUUAUCAGCUUGUUGGUGGGGUAGUGGCUUACCAAGGCUUUGACGGGUAGCCGGCCUGAGAGGGUGACCGGGCACAUUGGGACUGCGAUACGGACCAGUCUCCUACGGGAGGCAGCAGUGGGGAAUAUUGCACAAUGAGCGGAAGCGUGAUGCAGCGGCGCCGCGUGCGGGAUGACGGCCUUCGGGUUGUAAACCGCUUUCGCCUGUGACGAAGCGUGAGUGACGGUAAUGGGUAAAGAAGCACCGGCUAACUACGUG
rnacentral:rRNA from 1 species